GUAAAGUAUGUUCUAUCCUUUUUUUUUUAAGAUUUUAUUUAUUUAUUUAUUUAUUUAUUUAUUUAUUUAUUUACGAGAGACACAAAGAGGCAGAGACACAGGCAGAGGGAGAAGUAGGCUUCCUGUGAGGAGCCUGAUGCAGGACUUGAUCCCAGGACCCUGGGAUCAUGACCUGAGCCAAAGACCGAUGCUCAACCACUGAGCCACCCAGGUGCUCCUGUUCUAUCCUCUUGAAAAAUAUGUGCUCAUAAUAACCUGGAAGCCCAGGUUCAAAUUUGGAAUCUGGUUCUCUUGGGAGUUCUGCAGCAGAGCUCGGCAGCUGGGUGGCUGGUCUCUCCCAACAGCCUUAUUCUAUCCCACACCCCAAGCAUGCAAGUGGGUGCUCCAGGCUGCAGGCUUGGGUUCUCUCUGUGUGCUUCACAAACUGCCUCCUCUUGACACUAUGCAGGCAUGUUUGCACACUUCAGCGUCUCCCCCAGCCACACACAUCACACACCUGGGGUUGCCAUCUGCAGUGUGGCAUGCCCACUCGGGGAAGGCCGGUCCCCACUGCCGUGACUACAGCCUGCCAAAGACCAUUCCGGGGCCACUCUGCACCUGCUCCUUCCCUGUCUGGCUCCUUGCUCCAUCCCACGUUCUCCUCCUUCAGCAGCCACACAGGAUGGGUACUUUUCCAUUCACAUUUCAGCCAGUUUUCUCCACAUACACGAAGGGAAUUGUGCUGAGUCUUUGCUGGGGUGAGCAACUUUUAUUUUUGUGCUGAGAGGUGUAAUAUUUUUUAAUUUUCGAAAGCUAUGCUGUAGCUUGGUCGUGAGUUGUUAUUCCACAAUUAGACUUUUGUAUGCCUCAGGUUCUAUUUUGCAUGGUAGACUUGGGCCUCAGCAGAAAGGUUCCUGUAGGUCGAGGAGUUGCAUGGGCUCCCACCAGAUCAGUCCUAGCAGUGCCUCUGUGCACUGCCUGGGGUCCUAGUUCAAUGGAGGCGUCCCUAGGGGCCAUGCAGUGACAACAUACGGGCCACCCUUAUAGAGGGGACUGAGUCUGCUCUUUGGCAGCCUCUGCCACAAGUAGAGCAUCUCAGGGGUUAGGAGUAGCCUUGGAGUCAUCACCUGAGCUUUUCACGGACCUGUUUCCUCCUUUGGGAGUUAAGGAUGGGGGCCCUAGCUGGCUCAGUCUGUAGAGUUUGUGACCCUAGUUCUUGGGGUCGUUGAUUUCAAGCCCCACCUUGGCUGGAGACCUUACUUUAAAAAAAGAGCUGCAAGGAUUAAAUGAGGUCAUACACAUAAAGCACUCAGCAGGUUGUCCCUCGCCCCCACCCUGGGGCAGUGUACUCAAUACAUAGAAACUUAAAAAAAAUUUUUUAAUGCAAAAUUUGUGUUUUUUUAAACACAAAUUUGGCCUUCAGAGUCUCCAUAACCUCCUUGAUGAUCAUAUAUGCAUGAUCAUGUGCGUGUAAACCACUUGUUCCUGGGCCCAGCUUCCCGAUACAGCUGGCCCCUCCCUCCGCAGGGGGGCGACGUAGCUCCUCUGCACCCCCCCACCCUCCCAAGGGACCUGCACCCGCUGCUCAGGUUGCUUGCUGCUUCCAGUGAGGCCAAGAUUUUUCUUUUUCUAGUUUUGCAGAGAAUCUUUGAGCUAGAAUCCUGGGAGUGGGACGGCUUGGUCAGAGGGUCCACGAACAUGUAACUGCUAGAAACUGUCACGUUGCCCUCCACAGAGCUUGCCACCGGUGCAUGACAGCACCUGCCCACCGGCAGACUGUGGCCUGACUCUGAGUGCCGAUCUGCUAGACAAGAGAUGGUAUUUUAGGCUUGCUUUCAUUUUACCAUAUCAUGAGCAAGGUUGAGCAUCUUUCGACAAGUUUAACACAUUAUGUACAUUUAAUUUUAGAAGCUAUAUAUUAACCAUUGUAAUACAAAUUACAUUUUCCCAGCUUACAAUUUUUUACUUUGCUAAUGUCGCUUUUUUUUCUAUGUACAAAGAUUUUUGUUUUUAAUUUCAAGGUAGUCAAAUUUGUCAGUCUUCUCCCUUACUUAUCUGAAUUUUUAAAAUAGAUUUAUUUAUUUAUUCCUGAGAGAUACACAGAGAGAGGCAGAGGGAGAGCAGGCUCCCCGAAGGGAGCCCGAUAUAGGACUUGAUCCUGGAUCCCAGGAUCAUGUCCUGAGCCAAAGGCAGAUGCUCAACCACUGAGCCACCCAGGCAUCCCACUUAUCUGGAUUUUGAAUGAAGAGGGUUUUCCUCACUCCCAGGUUCCCAGUCAUCCCUCUUCUUUCUUUCUUUCUUUCUUUCUUUCUUUUUUUUUUUUUUUUUUAAGAUUUAAAAGGGCAAAUGUCCAUGAAAAAAAUGCUAAGGGAAUGAGCAGGCAACAGAACCACACAGCAUACACAUUCACUUUUUCUUUUCCCUUUUAGAAAGAUAUUGUAAAGGGGAGGGUACCCAAAUG
rnacentral:lncRNA from 1 species